GGCUAAACAUCUAUUAAAGGCCAAACAUCUGUUUAAGGCCAAACAUCUGUUUAAGUCUGAACAGAUGUUUAACUUAAUCAGAUCUACUGUCUUCUCACACUGUUUUCCUCUUCAAAACACUGUUGAACCUAACAUCGGUUUCCAUUAACUAUUGACCAAAAGUCAAACAGAUGUUCAAACCACUGUUUGUUAUUGUAUUUCUUUACAAAUUACAUAAAUUUCAAGAAAGCGAAACAAUGACUUAAAGAACUAUAAUUUAACACAUAAUCUAAUCAGGCAAAGCAAUCUAUUAUCUGACAAUUCCCUGCUUUUGACAACAUGAAACACAACAUCAUCAUGCCAAAUACAGUCAUAUACAUCCAUCCAUUAUUCUAAAUUCAUAAACCCAUAAAUGCAGAAGAAUGUCACAUUUGCGAUUAAUAAACCAAGUUUCUACUAAUUGCACAAAAGAAGCAUGAUAUCAUCUAUAUAUAAAACAUAAAGUGCUAAUAACAGUGUUUUAUCAUGUUAGCUAUACAUCAAGUUAAUAAUUAAAAAAAACAUACAAUAUCACCAUCAAAAAAUUCAUAAUUAUAAUAUCUGAUAUCAGAACAUACUUAAAUGUCGUUGUUAAACUGAGGUAACUUGAUUUAAUACGAUUUUCUGUUCCGAAGACACGUAUGUGAAGUACAACAUAUCACCAAACCUCAACUUAUUCUCAGUCAUAAACUUUCGCCAACCGUCCAACGCAUAACGUGGCUUCAAAUCAUUUAACUCCGACUUAACAUCAUAAACCUCCACAACUCCAACCAUGUUUUGAACUUUCAAAGGAUGAAGAUCAACAGAAAGACCUGCUCGUCUGACAACUUCAACAGGAAGACGCUACAUGUAUUGUGUAGAAAAAAAAUAAUAGUCAGACAAAUAAACAUAAAUCAUUAGUUUGUAUAAAAAACGGUAUAACAGCCUAUAGUCUCCUUUGCGAUCAAAAUGAAAGAACUCAGGGUUGAGAAGAUGUCCAGAAUGUUUUUUUUGCAGUCUUUAUAAUCUUAUUUCUACAGAUAAGCUUUUUCUGAACGUUGGCGGCUCUCUUCCCCUUGAUGAAAAAAUGA
rnacentral:lncRNA from 1 species